ACUCCUACGGGAGGCAGCAGUGGGGAAUUUUGCGCAAUGGGCGAAACCCUGACGCAGCAACGCCGCGUGAGUGAUGAAGGCCCUCGGGUCGUAAAGCUCUGUCGGGAGGGAAGAAAUGAUUGUGGGCUAAUACCCCUUUGUCUUGACGGUACCUCCAAAGGAAGCACCGGCUAACUCCGUGCCAGCAGCCGCGGUAAUA
rnacentral:rRNA from 1 species